AGCUCCAAUAGCGUAUAUUAAAGUUGUUGCAGUUAAAAAGCUCGUAGUUGGAUUUCUUGGGUAGCAAGCGGGUCGGCACAAAGUGUCUGUACUAGCUUUGCUAUUCAAUCCUCGUAACAAGGUAUCGGUGAGUUAACUCCAUUCGGUGCUGAGUUGCGUCAUUUACUGUGAACAAAUUAGAGUGUUUAAAGCAGGCAAAUGCUGUGAAUACAUUAGCAUGGAAUAAUAAGAUAGGACCUAGAGUCUAUUUUGUUGGUUGCGUAUUU
rnacentral:rRNA from 1 species